AGCGAACGCUGGCGGCAGGCUUAACACAUGCAAGUCGAGCGGGCAUCCUUGUGGUGUCAGCGGCAGACGGGUGAGUAACGCGUGGGAACGUGCCCUUCGGUUCGGAAUAACUCAGGGAAACUUGAGCUAAUACCGGAUACGUGCGAGAGCAGAAAGGUUUAUCUGCCGAAGGAUCGGCCCGCGUCUGAUUAGCUAGUUGGUGAGGUUAUGGCUCACCAAGGCGACGAUCAGUAGCUGGUCUGAGAGGAUGAUCAGCCACACUGGGACUGAGACACGGCCCAGACUCCUACGGGAGGCAGCAGUGGGGAAUAUUGGACCAUGGGGGCAACCCUGAUCCAGCCAUGCCGCGUGAGUGAUGACGGCCUUAGGGUUGUAAAGCUCUUUUCUCCGGGACGAUAAUGACGGUACCGGAGGAAUAAGCCCCGGCUAACUUCGUG
rnacentral:rRNA from 1 species